rnacentral:rRNA from 1 species
AUUGAACGCUGGCGGCAGGCCUAACACAUGCAAGUCGAGCGGAUGAAGGGAGCUUGCUCCUGGAUUCAGCGGCGGACGGGUGAGUAAUGCCUAGGAAUCUGCCUGGUAGUGGGGGAUAACGUCCGGAAACGGGCGCUAAUACCGCAUAUGUCCUGAGGGAGAAAGUGGGGGAUCUUCGGACCUCACGCUAUCAGAUGAGCCUAGGUCGGAUUAGCUAGUUGGUGGGGUAAAGGCCUACCAAGGCGACGAUCCGUAACUGGUCUGAGAGGAUGAUCAGUCACACUGGAACUGAGACACGGUCCAGACUCCUACGGGAGGCAGCAGUGGGGAAUAUUGGACAAUGGGCGAAAGCCUGAUCCAGCCAUGCAGCGUGUGUGAAGAAGGUCUUCGGAUUGUAAAGCACUUUAAGUUGGGAGGAAGGGCAGUAAGUUAAUACCUUGCUGUUUUGACGUUACCAACAGAAUAAGCACCGGCUAACUUCGU